UUUUUUAUAGUUCAACAUAUAUAUUACAUGUUCCAUUUGACAAUAGUAUAGGUACUCGCGUCUAAAUUUGCUUAGAAAAAUUGAAGAGUACUAGAUACUUUACUUUAAAUAUUUUGACUAAUUGGAGUUAAACAAUGUUGUGAAUUGUGGCGUAUUCUUUGUCCGGCUUUAAUACAACGUUAAGAAACAUUUUCUUUUUCUAUUAAGUCAAUGGUUAUUUUCUCCUAAAUUCCACUAUACAUAGAUCAUCUUAUGAUGGUGCCCAAAUAGACAUCGCUGAUAUUCAGUGUCCAGAAUAAGUUUCAGUUAAGGAAAACCAUAUCAUAAUUGAAUUCUUAUUUUUUGCGCACUUUCCUUCAACUCAAUUACUUAACCCUUCACUUUUUAUUGGGACCAUAUGCCGAGGUCAGUGUUGGAAAACGCAUAAAACGUUCCGUACCAAAUAUCGAGUGCAAAAAACGAAUACAUGAAAUUUGUAGAACCAAAUCCAAUAAAAUUUGCGGCUAUCGCAGCGAA